GGUGCAAACGUUGCUCGGAAUUACUGGGCGUAAAGCGCGUGUAGGUGGAUUGGUGUGUCAGAUGUGAAAUCCCUGGGCUCAACCCAGGAACUGCACCUGAAACUACCAGUCUUGAGUGGUGGAGAGGGAAGUGGAAUUCCUGGUGUAGAGGUGAAAUUCGUAGAUAUCAGGAGGAACACCAGUGGCGAAGGCGGCUUCCUGGACACCAACUGACGCUGAGACGCGAAAGCGUGGGGAGCAAACAGG
rnacentral:rRNA from 1 species